CAAACAAUGCUUUUUAUGGCCACAAUCAAAUGAGCUGAGACUUUCAUGAGCUGCGAAUGUGUGUGUUUGCAAGCGCUGAGCAAUUAUGCAAAUUAUAGUUAGGAUGCUUAAUUGGAAAGGCAGCUCCUCGCUGCAGGAUGCGGACACGACAAAAACCAAAAACAAAACAAAACAAGGCAAUGAAAAACUCUGAAAAUUUGUAAAAACGAACUGAGACUUGUCUAGAUUAUGUCAGAGCUCGGUCAGACGUUGAGCAAACAAUGCGAGGAAAACGUUGACAAAACAAACCAUAAAAAAACUAAAUAAAUGGAAAAUGAAUGAAGGACGAAGAAUGAAGGAGCAGCAGCAAAAACGAGUUGAGGAAUUGAAAAAUAAAAGUAACAUAUUAUAGCCAGACAGUCAUAAAGUUGAAUGAAUGAAA